UUUUAAAAAUUUCAGUGGUAAAGAAUCUGCCUGCCAAGCAGGAGGCACAGGUUUGAUCCUUGUGUUGAGAA
rnacentral:tRNA from 1 species